AUGAACGCUGGCGGCGUGCCUAAUACAUGCCAGUCGAGCGAACAGACGAGGAGCUUGCUCCUCUGACGUUAGCGGCGGACGGGUGAGUAACACGUGGAUAACCUACCUAUAAGACUGGGAUAACUUCGGGAAACCGGAGCUAAUACCGGAUAAUAUAUUGAACCGCAUGGUUCAAUAGUGAAAGACGGUUUUGCUGUCACUUAUAGAUGGAUCCGCGCCGCAUUAGCUAGUUGGUAAGGUAACGGCUUACCAAGGCAACGAUGCGUAGCCGACCUGAGAGGGUGAUCGGCCACACUGGAACUGAGACACGGUCCAGACUCCUACGGGAGGCAGCAGUAGGGAAUCUUCCGCAAUGGGCGAAAGCCUGACGGAGCAACGCCGCGUGAGUGAUGAAGGUCUUCGGAUCGUAAAACUCUGUUAUUAGGGAAGAACAAAUGUGUAAGUAACUAUGCACGUCUUGACGGUACCUAAUCAGAAAGCCACGGCGAACUACGU
rnacentral:rRNA from 1 species